AUGUACAUGCCUAAAACAUUAUUGCACUGAAUCAUAUUAGAACUCUACAGUUAAUAAUACUUACACUAAAGUAGUGCUAGGAUGGGGGACCUCCUGAGAAGUCCUAGUAUUUUACAUG
rnacentral:rRNA from 1 species